AACGAACGCUGGCGGCAUGCCUAACACAUGCAAGUCGAACGAGACCUUCGGGUCUAGUGGCGCACGGGUGCGUAACGCGUGGGAACCUGCCCUUAGGUUCGGAAUAACUCCCCGAAAGGGGUGCUAAUACCGGAUAAUGUCUUCGGACCAAAGAUUUAUCGCCUUUGGAUGGGCCCGCGUUGGAUUAGCUAGUUGGUAGGGUAAAAGCCUACCAAGGCGACGUUCCAUAGCUGGUCUGAGAGGAUGGUCAGCCACACUGGGACUGAGACACGGCCCAGACUCCUACGGGAGGCAGCAGUGGGGAAUAUUGGACAAUGGGCGAAAGCCUGAUCCAGCAAUGCCGCGUGAGUGAUGAAGGCCUUAGGGUUGUAAAGCUCUUUUACCCGGGAUGAUAAUGACAGUACCGGGAGAAUAAGCUCCGGCUAACUCCGUG
rnacentral:rRNA from 1 species